GGGAAUAGUACCGUAGAGGCAGCGGCGCUGACUGUAAAUCAGCUUUCCGAGAGGAAUCGGGUGGUUCGACUCCAUCUUCCCACACCA
rnacentral:tRNA from 1 species